UUCGGCAUCGGAUUAAUAUUAAAGUUUCGGCGGUACAAGAUGAGCAUGCGUCCCAUUAGUUAGUUGGUAAGGUAACUGGCUUACCAAGACAAUGAUGGGUAGGGGUCCUGAGAGGGAGAUCCCCCACACUGGUACUGAGACACGGACCAGACUCCUACGGGAGGCAGCAGUGAGGAAUAUUGGGCAAUGGGCGGAAGCCUGACCCAGCCAUGCCGCGUGCAGGAAGACGGUCCUAUGGAUUGUAANCUGCUUUUAUACGGGAAGAAACACCCCCUCGUGAGGGGACUUGACGGUACCGUAAGAAUAAGGAUCGGCUAACUCCGUGCCAGCAGCCGCGGUAAUACGGAGGAUCCAAGCGUUAUCCGGAAUCAUUGGGUUUAAAGGGUCCGUAGGCGGCCUUAUAAGUCAGUGGUGAAAUCUCCUAGCUCAACUAGGAAACUGCCAUUGAUACNGUAGGGCUUGAAUUAUUGUGAAGUAACUAGAAUAUGUAGUGUAGCGGUGAAAUGCUUAGAUAUUACAUGGAAUACCAAUUGCGAAGGCAGGUUACUAACAAUACAUUGACGCUGAUGGACGAAAGCGUGGGUAGCGAACAGGAUUAGAUACCCUGGUAGUCCACGCCGUAAACGAUGGAUACUAGCUG
rnacentral:rRNA from 1 species